GACGCACAAAACCCAAUUGAGGCAACUCCUUUUUGUGGUUGUCCCAGUUUGACCUUUUUGAAUGUGUCUAGGUGCGAUAUGAAUUAAACUUGGCGUCGCAUUUGCCAUAACCUCAUUUAAAUGGUAUGGUGAACUGAAACUUCGAGUUACAAA
rnacentral:snoRNA from 1 species